UCGCAUGUAGCAACCCGGGCUCCUCUGAGAUUCUCUAAUGAAGAAACAUGUCCCAAAGCUCGUGCCAGAACGAUGCCGUUUAGUGUUGCAGAUAUGCCGCUGUACCUUCUUCACGGCUUAUUUGUGUCAAAACAACGGCAACAUUC